UGUCCAGGGGCCUGGCCAUUCCACCUCUAGGGCUUCUCCAGGCUUUGACCAAAGCCAUCCCAGCAGUGCUCACUCCAAAGAAGCACCUGGACCCUUUCCAUUCUGGAGAUGGGAGGCUGCUGUGCCCAGGGGAUGCUGCUGAAAAUUUCUGAGGUUGCCACUGAGAAGCUCUCCCCUAGGCAGAUGCUGUUUCAAUGAGGAUAAAAGAACUCAGGCAAUUGGUUUAAUAACCAACAGAGCAGGGUCUUUCUCAGACAGCAAGAGGUGACUUGCGGACAGGAGCUGAGGACUUUUGCUCUCACAAUAUAAGAUGUUCUAGCAGAGCUUAGCGAUGGGAGUGAGUUGGGAAGGGCCACAGGAUGUGGGUUUAGACGGUUAUAGUCAGCCCUCCAGACCCUCCAGAUAAAUGCUCCGGUAUAUUCUGCCAGUUGCAGGGACCUCCUUGAGGGAGGGGUUGCCUGAAAACACAGCCUGUGGGAGACUAAUGGAGCAGGGGGCACAGUGUCCUAGGCAGGGACUAGUGAGCGCAAAACCGUGGCUCCCAAGAAAAGAAGGGGACACUUGUGCCCUAUUCGCUGUUAACUGUGAUUCCAUGUCUAUCUGCGAGAGCAGGGGCCAUCCCUUUAAGUAAUCUGUCACCUUUCCCCGUUCGAAUUAGACCCUGGCCUCCAUGCCUAAGGAGGGGGUGGCCAGAGCCCAAAUGCGAAAAGGUACAAAAUUAAUCCUUGCCUUUGGAGCUUCUAACGGGCCAGUGGCCCAGUGACUUCAAGAUGCUUUAAGGGAUUCUUUGAGAUUAUUUCAAUUCUGUGCAGCUCUUACUAUGCAUGCUAAUUUUAGAGCCCACCUCCUAUGUAAGACGGGAUGCUAUCGUAUAUUGCGUGUAAUUUAAAGCUUGAGACUUCCUGUCUUCUCCAAAAUCACCAAGUCCUGUGCUCUGCUAAGUUAGCUUCAACACUCCCAGCCCAGAAAGAUCUAAAACUGGGUUUGGGGUGGGUUUUCUCAGUGUAACCGCACACCGGGCUUAGAACAGCCCUGUGUGAAAGGGACGGAACUGGACCUCGGCUCCUUCCCUGUUCGAAGAAGUCUCUUGAUACAUUUUGGGGUCAGAAGGACCUGGGUUCAGAUCCCGGCUCUGUCACUUACCGUAUUUGCCAAAGUAGGGUGCAUAUACCCCAGCGCAAAGUGGCCCUGGGUACAAAGGGUGACUUUGGCUGGUGCAUAGAUUUAAAGUUACAUUCCCCUUUUAAUUAGCUUUAAGUUCUCCUGAAUGCCUCAAGGGGAAUGUUUCUGUUUGGUGUCAGCACACCUGUAUCCUCUUUUUAACAGAAGAGUACCAGGCUUCCGUUUCUAAGCUUUGGCAAACACCCGUUUCUAAGUCACUGUUUUGCUUACGAGGUAUUAUAAGACAAAUAUUUAAAAACACACACACACACAAAAUAGAUGUUUUAGUAAUGAGUUCUUAUAAGGUUAAGUUCCUCAAACCACCACCCCGGUUGGGAAACAGAACUCUGGCCGCCACUCUGGAAGGUUAUUCGUGUUCUAAUCUCGAUCUCCCGGCAAGCGGUGGCUUGACUUCCUUGUGCGUCUUUAUAGUUUUAUCACUUGAGUCUUAUCGUCUCUUAAUACGGUAGUUUAGUCUUUCCCAUUUUUAGACACUGGCUGUGUCUUUUAAGCCUUUUAAUACAGUGAUUUCUCCCCUCCAUCCCUUCCUUUUAUCCGUUCCUUCAUCUGCUGAAGAUCCUGGGCUGUUUGACCCAGAGCGUUUUCACAGUCUGGAUUUGCGGAUUGCACAGGUGUGGGCCUCUUGCACAGUUUUCCUGUCUGAUGUGUCUCCUGCAAAUCGGUAGCCGGGCCUAGAGACUCGGGCAGAAUCAGGUCCGAUCCCUUUGGUAAGAACGUAGAAGGCGUGCUCUUUCGUUCAAAGGCACAGAACACCCCGUGUCUCUCUUUCUGUGAUGUUGGCCGUCACUGAUGCUCACUCAGCCCCUAGGCCCGUUAAUGGCGGUACCCUAAUUGUGUCAUUCCUUUUUCAUUUACUGGUAGGAAUGCCUCUUUGAAGGCAGGCUGCCCCUCCUCACUUGCCUGGUUCCCCAUGGCACAGCUCAUAUAGGAAACGCUGGAUAAACGCUUGAUUCUUUCUUGUUACUGGACAGUUUGUCACAAAUCGGUUGAUGAUUAUGCUCCAAAGGUGACUAGUCAGCACUUGCUUCUAAAAUAAAACGUUUCGUAAAAGAAGAGAGUCGAUGUAAAGAAAAAUAUUACACGAGCAACAGUUCACAGCCUUGGCACAGUGGUGAAGAGAGUUCCAAAGCCUGAGUUUUAGGGAAUUAGGUCCUUCAGGCACUCAAGAGGUAGCAGAGACAGGACCAGACUAGAUUCUUAAACCUCUAAACUCCUCCCCGCUGCAUCUUCUCCUUUUCCCAUCGUGGGUCGCCAGGUUUACCCACUGACAUCAGUAGAUCAAGAAGGGUCUCAGUCUGGUGAAUAGACCAAGAAGAGAUCCUGUUCUCAAGCAAGAGGUUGGACCAACUUAGAGCGCCAUUUUCAAUUUCGGUUGAAUGCAUUGAGAUUGGAGGUAUUAGUCAUGUGUGACAAACAUUAAUUUAUUAACGUACAGUAUCUCUAUUAGUAAGGUACUGCUUUCAAAAUGAUAGUAGAGUGGAUUUGAGGCAAUUCUUUUCAUACUGCACUGCCUCACUCGUAUUUCAGUAUGUUUUCUGGCAUGAGACGGUAAGGCUGGGGUUUACCUGGAAAUCAUGCGGUGCCCUGCGUCCCCUCAAGGGGUGUCACAUGUCAGGGAAGAGAGACGGCGCUGAGAACACAGUUCCGUGGGUUCGAGUCUUGUGUGGGGAUGGAGGCCCAUGUUGGCGGCCACCUCGCGGUCUCCUAAUCCAGCAAGGCUGAGGGUGAAACAGACUGCCAUCUUGUUGGUGCGGAUCAAAGUAGCUACGCUGUCUCUAAGGGCCGCAUCGUUUGGGGAAAAUGUAACCAUAAAUGUUAUAGUUGUGCUUGGCUUGAGGAGAUGCCCUCACUGCCUUCGUGGCAAAUAGUUUUUUUAAGCACCUAUACUUUGAGUUUACGUAAAUUAAAUUCACUUCAAAGACAUAAUAAUGCCUACUCACGUGAGGCAAAGGCUGACACUGUUAAACCACAUGACAACCUUUGGAUGGGUCCUGUCAUCACCCCUCUAAGACGAGGGGACUGAGGCCACACAGCAAGUACAUUUCAGGGCCAAUAUUUGAACCCAGGCAGCCUGCCUCCACAGGGUUUUACACUUAACUGUGACACUGUUAGGUCUUUUUAAAAAAUUUUUUUGUUAAUGUUCAUUUUUGAGAGACAGAGAGAGAGAGAGAGAGAGAGACAGAGCAUGAGCGGGGGAGGGGCAGAGAGAGAGGGAGACACAGAAUCCGAAGCAGGCUCAGGCUCUGAGCUGUCCGCACAGAGCACAUGGACGUGAAAUCAUGAACCGUGAGAUCAUGACUGAGCCAAAGUUGGACGCUUAACUGACUGAGCCACCCAGGCGCCCCCAAUGUUCAGUCUUUUGAGGGUGCUGAGCAUGGAUGCCUGGAUUUCUAGGCCAUGUGAUGCCCCUGGGGCAGAGCCACCAGCAGCCAUCCUGUCCGUAGGCUCUGGCAGGGGCCCGAGCCCCAACCCUUUGCUGGCUCACCUCUCCCCUGCUCAGUGAAGGCUCGUGGUGCUCCCCCAUGUUUCCGUCUUGGGAAUGGACCUGACUUUCCAUCCGAGCAUCUCCCACGUGUGGUCUUCCAAACACUUGGUUUCACUUCACCAAAAAAUCCAUGCUACGGAAAGGGUUACCUGUCAUCCCACUUUGCAGGAGAAAGGUUUGAGGACGUAGGACAUUGUGGGUAGUUUUCCCCAGACACAGCACGGGCUCCCAGGCCCAGUGAAUGCAGAGCCAGGCUUUUGCUAGCACAUUAUGUUGAGUUGCAGCCCACAUGGCCUUAACCGUGAUGUUACAAACAACAAAACCCAGCAGCUGGCGUUGUGAGCACGUCAGCGUGGGCCGGCUGUGCGCUCCGCACUCUGCAGGUGCUUGCAGUGUAUGUUCUGUGCGCCUCUCCUGGUAGACACCGGUACUGUCCCUGCUUUCUCCAGGAGGAUGCUGAGAUUCAGGUACUGUCCCUGCUUUCUCCAGGAGGAUGCUGAGAUUCAGGUACUGUCCCUGCUUUCUCCAGGAGGAUGCUGAGAUUCAGAGAUGUUAAGUAACUCGUGCAGUCUCACACAGUAGGUUAAUGGUGACACUGGGAUUUGUUCUGCAAGAGUCCAGACCCCCAACCUUGCUAUCCUGACCCCGGUUCCUUUGUCUAGUUUCUAAGUCACUUUCGCUCUCAUGAUUCCAUCCAGUUUUCACCAGAACACUAUAAGCAAGUGCUGUCCACAUUUCGGUGGAAACCAACCCUCAGAGAGGUGAAAUGUCUGGUUAGACAGCCGGGUUUCCUAAAGCCCCUUCAGGGGUUCCUUCCACUAUGGAAGAGUCACCUGCUCACCCUACAAGGAUACUGCAAUGAUUGGAAAGGUUUUAUGGUGGGAGAGAUUUUCAAAUGUAGGGAGCACUGCAUAUAUAUGAGGCAAACCGUCAUCGGUUGCUUGUCUCAGGUGAGCAGGAAGGCGACACCCCCUUUUUGGGGAAGGCCCAUAGAGGUGGUCAUCUGGCUCACACUCACCUUCUAGAAUUGCAUCGGCCCUGACCCCCUGAUUGGUGCUGCGGAGGAGGGGAGGCAGGCUGGGCUGCAGCAGGCAGUAUCUCUGAAGCCAGCCUCCCUAGAAGUCAGACCAUGCCUGCAGUAUACAGAGGCUACUAAUGCUGAUUGAUCCUGUCAGCAAAUAUUUAUUUGUUGAAAUAAAUGUGUCGGGACCCAGCUGCAUCCUUGUGAGGGCUCCAUCAGUGGACAAAAGAGAUAAAGUCCCCUGUCCCUGGGGAAUUUAUGUCCAAGGGGGGAGACAGAUAACCAACAACAGUGCGACAGAACAUUAUGGGGGAAGAGAUGGAGGGAUUGGGUCGGAGGGAUGCUAUUUUUGAUAGGAUGAUCAAAGAAAAGUCUUUCUGAUAAGGGUGACGUUUGAGCAGAGACCAGAGCAAGUGAGGGAACGAGGCAUGUGGUUAUCUGGAGGCAAAGCGUUCUAGACAAGGAGGAAGAGUGAGUGUAAGAGCCCUAGGCGGGAAUAUACUCAGCGUGUUUGAGGAGCAGAGAGGAGGCCAGUGUAACCCGAGUGGAUUGUCAUUUUGUAUUUUGUGACCCAGAAUUCCUUUAUGAAUCAGCUACUUUGAAAAAAUGACAAAUCCAGUCUAACGUGCUGCAAAUUUGAUGUGUUUUUCUCGCUAGUGACUUAGAAUUUUGAAAACGAACGAUCCUUAAUAGAAUUAAAAAAAAAAAUCCGAAGGUGGCCAAAAUAGAUAAAAGGGAAAAAGACACCCACCAAUAUGCAAAACAACUUUUGUCAUUCUUAGAAUGAUGCAAAUUUAAAUUUAAAAAACUUAUUUGGAAAAGCAAAGUUACAUCAGAAGUAUAUUCUCAAAAAAAAUGGAUUAAAAAAAUCUCUGAAAAAUAUGCAUGGCACAACGUUAACCGAGAAUGAAAGGUAUUAAAUUUUAUUUAAGAGAUUGUUCUAAACGUGUUAAAACUGCAUACGCACACGGAAAAGAAUCCGAAAAAGACACAGACAAAUGAAAACUUUGAUUUGAUUUAGGGAGGGGUCCGUGGAUAAUUAUCUUUGUUUUGAAUUUAUAUUAUUUCAGAAAUGUCUAUAAUAAAACAAUUUGAAAGUGUUGAAUGUGCCACAAGAUGGCCAAAGUUAAUACCCAAGGAGAUGUAAAAGCCAUCAGAAAGAAGUUGAAUUUUUAAAAUUGCUCAUUAGAUGAACUGGGGUUUAGGCAAAUUGUUCUAGAAGCACAGAGGGAUAAGCAUGAGCGCCUCAGCCACAUAAGUCUGUGUGUGUGGUUAUUGGCUGUGUGACCUCUAGAAAGUCACUUAACAGCUCUGAAUAUUGGUUUCAUCAUCUUUCAAGUGAGCGUAAUAAGUGAGGAUUUAAGACGAUGAUAUACAAUGUGCAGAAUAAAUGAUAAAUGGAGGCUACCUGCACUAAUGGAGCUGAGUUUGAGGGGCGCCUUGCUGCAUGGGCACAAAAGGAUUAUGUUUCCUCCGGUCCUUUUACAGUUUUUCUCAGGGACAAUUGUCAGCCUGGCACAUUCAUGCAAUUUCCCAACUGCCAGUGGGCACAGGCAGUUAAGUCUCCUUAGCAAAACAUCUAUUUUAAAUGUUUUCUUUUCAAUUGAACAUAUGCACUUCUUUUUUUUUUUUUUAAAUAGAAUUAGAUUUUAUGAGUCAUUGAAGGACAGAAGUUACUUCCUCCCCAAAUUUGCUGUCGUGGUCCAGCAAGAACUCAGUUGCAAGGCAUGCUGGGAUGGGCAUCGCCCCAGAAUGCACGCGGGGACAGGGAGAGGGGUGAGGAUGGUUCUUCUUGUAGACCUGGCCCCUGAGGUCAUGUCCUUUGAGCACCGAGAACGUCCAAGGGGUCCUGGUAACUCAGGAUCGGCUCAGAGUUGGCAUGAGUGCCCAGGGGUAUGGUUUGAUAGAAGGGUGUUGCUGUAGGAACUCUGGCAGAGUCUCAGUAGGCAAUAGUUGGGUUGCCAGAAACAGAAAACCUCCUCCUCCAAACUAUUGCAUUAAAAAGAGAGAGAGAGAGAGAGA